GGGGCGGAGCCAUCCUGGAAGCGCGAAUCUGGUACCGGGACUUGGGGAGCGAGGGAUGCAACAUGGUGCAUCUGGGAGGCCUGCUAACUGGCUAACUUCUCCGGCGUUCCUCCCGGCCGAGGCGUGGGCACAGAAUAGCGCAGGUGAGGCCCAGAUAUGGUGUCUCGAUACGGCGCGGAAGUUUGAAGACAUCAUUUUCCAGUUUUGGAGCCGACUAAUGAACUAGUUCUUAAGUGAAAGGCAUUUAACACGACUGUGCAUCUACAGGUACUAGCUCCCUCUUCUCUUCCAGGUUUCCAAGAUGCCUUUCCAGACUAAAACCCACACAUGUGAGCCGCUGGCCGGACAAACAUCUGGCACCUAACGUGGGGCUGAAAAACAGCAGAGGACAUUUGGAAGAAACACUGCUGGUUUGGAGCUCCAUAGAAGAAGAAAAUAAUUAAAGGAAAUUCAUACCAGAGAAGAACACCCCAGUGAUGGCUAUUCUUGGUCAUAAACUUCACUACAUAUGGAAAUACUAAAACCCAAUCCAUUGGGGUCCAAACCAAUGGAGGGAUCGUUCUUGAUUGGAUCAUUCAAGAUGGAAAGACCCACCUUAAAUCUGGAUCAUUUGACCUGGAUCAGAAGAUCCACUCUAAAUAUGGGCCACACCUUCUAGAGACAAUGUAUAUAAAAGAACAGAGAAAAAAGCCCUUGUUUUUGCCUGCUUCCCUUCACUCUGACUGACAAAUUCACCCAUUCUGCUGCUGAGGCAUUCCUUCACUGGUAUUAGAAGCCACUUCUUCAGGAUUCCAAUGUAGACUGAAGACCAGCUGAGACAUCCAGCCCCAUGGAUCAAACAAUUAUUGGAUUCUUGGACUAUCGUAUCAGACUAGACAGACUAGAGACUUUAAGCCUCUCUAAUAAAUUGUACAUACAGAGAUAGAGAUAGAUAGAUAGAUAGAUAGAUAGAUAGAUAGAUAGAUAGAUAGAGUGUGCAUUCGUGUGUGUGUGUGUGUGUGUGUGUGUGUGUGUGUGUGUUGUCAUUGCUCUUAUUACCCAGGACUUGAUGGUAAAAUGGUAAGACACUAUUGCUGAAGACACCACAUACAUAGACAUGGAGAAACAAGUUGGUUCUUGCCUAAAGUUUUCAUCCCUACUGUCUAGUUUUCAUGGUGCUAAAGAAUAAUAGAAACCAGGCUUACUCAGUUGUGGAUGCUGUAAGUUGCAUUAGCAACCAGUCUGGCAAUACAUACCCACCAAUGUAAUGAUGGCAUGAAUGUCAUGGCAGUGACCAACCAGUUUCUGUUUAGACUUAAAGCCUGCUCCAAAAGAGGGAAUCCAUAUCUGAUACUAUUACUGAGACCACUAUAAGGAACUAUCUCUAUAAGGAUAUAGUAUUUUCUAGACUCAACAAGACAGUCGCAAAUAUAAACUCACAGAUUUAUUAUGACAUGACAAAAGCCUAUAAAAUCCCAAGCUAGAUAAACUCUCAGAAUGGAGAGGGGAGGUGGGCAAAAAAUUCCAUCCCUACCUGAGGUGCUUCUGGUAGUUGAUGGUGCCUGUUAGAUUGAGUUUGUUUCAUUUAAGGAUAUGGCCCCUGGUAGGUCAAUCAUUGUCUUAAGGUUGCUAUUGUGAUAAAACACCAGGAAAAAAGCAGAUUGUGGAGGGAAGGGUUUGUUUCAGGUUAUAUGUCUCAAUCACAAUCCAUCAUGAAAGGAAGUGAGGGCAGGAGUUCAAGGCAGGAACCUGGAAGCAGGAACUGAGGCAAAGGCUAUGAAAGAACACUGUUUACUGGCUUGUUCCACAUGACUUAACCAGUAUACUUUCCUAUACCAUUCAAGAUCACCUGCCCAGGGUGAGAACUGGCUCUCUGUGGGCUAGCCACAUCACUCAAUAAAAUGCCCCAUGAGCCUGCCCACAGGCUGUUGUGUGGCAAUGGGUUGGGGAUUAUUGAUUGAUAUUCCUUCUUCAAUGACAUGUGCCAAGUUGACAUAAAAUACCCAUAGAAAGAGUUACAGAGAGAAAAUUCAGAGCUGAGAUGGAAGGAAGGACCAUCCAGAAACUGCCCCACUUGGGGAUCCAUCCCAUAAACAACCACCAAACCCAGACACUAUUGCAUAUGCCAGCAAGAUUUUGCUGACAGGAGCCUGAUAUAGCUGUCUCUUGUGAGUCUAUGCCAGUGCCUGGCAAAUACAGAAGUGAAUGCCCACAGUCAUAUAUGGAACACAAGGCCAACAAUAAAGGAGCUAGAGAAAGUACCCAAGGAGUUAAAGGGUUCUGCAACCCUAUAGGAGGAACAACAAUAUGAACUAACCAGUACCACCACCACCCCAGAGCUUGUGUCUCUAGCUGCAUACGCAGCAGAUGAUGGCUUAGUAGGACAUCAAUGGGAGGAGAGGCCCUUGGUCUUGUGAAGAUCAUAUGCCCCAGUACAGGAGAAGGCCAGGGCCAGGAAGCAGGAGUAGGUGGAUUGGGGACCAGGGUGGGGGGACAGUAUAGGGAACUUUCAGGAUAGCACUUGAAAUGUAAAUGAAAAUAUCUACUAAAAAAAAAUAGCUAGCAGAACCCCAGGACACUCAACGAAGUUGAAAGUCGUUUUUGUUUUUUGGUUUUAGUUUUUUCCAACGGUUAAAAGUACCCUACAUGCUUUCAAA
rnacentral:lncRNA from 1 species